UACGUAGGGGGCAAGCGUUGUCCGGAUUUAUUGGGCGUAAAGAGCUCGUAGGCGGUUUGGCAAGUCGGGUGUGAAAACUCCGGGCUCAACUCGGAGACGCCACUCGAUACUGCCAUGACUCGAGUCCGGUAGGGGAGUGCGGAAUUCCUGGUGUAGCGGUGAAAUGCGCAGAUAUCAGGAGGAACACCGGUGGCGAAGGCGGCACUCUGGGCCGGUACUGACGCUGAGGAGCGAAAGCGUGGGGAGCAAACAGG
rnacentral:rRNA from 1 species